rnacentral:lncRNA from 1 species
CUUUGCUUUUCUUCUCUUUUAAAGGAUCAUGGCAAGGAAUGGUAAGAUCAUGUUACAACAUGACAACAACAAAAGUCUGUAGCAUUUCUGCUCACUGAACUCUGCUAAAUGAUGAACUGUGAAGGGAUCCUUGAAGAAUUGGUGACAAUUUGCAUAGGUGACAGAAGAGGAAAGAAAGAACCUUGGAGGUGGCAAUGAGGAUAUGUUUACAGUUUCUGGUCCCACAUGUGAGGUUCUUGGAAGUUGCCACUCCAUCCUAACAACGAGUAAAAAGCUGAACAAUCUGAGAAACCAACUACUCUUGUGGAUCCAUAAGAGAGGGGAGGACAAAGGCCAAACGUCUGCCCCUGGGAUUGGAGAGAUAGACAGACCAACACAAGGAGUCAUGGCUUCCCAUAGCAGAGACUCACGAGUGGAAACUGCCAGGGGAACCAGUGCCAAGGAGUUCUCAGAAGGCUGA